rnacentral:rRNA from 1 species
AUUCUGCCAGUAGUCAUAUGCUUGUCUCAAAGAUUAAGCCAUGCAUGUCUAAGUAUAAGCAAUUAUACCGUGAAACUGCGAAUGGCUCAUUAAAUCAGUUAUCGUUUAUUUGAUAAUACCUUACUACUUGGAUAACCGUGGUAAUUCUAGAGCUAAUACAUGCUGAAAAUCCCGACUUCGGAAGGGAUGUGUUUAUUAGAUAAAAACCAAUGCCCUUCGGGCUCUGGUGAUUCAUAAUAACUUUACGGAUCGCAUAGCCUUGCGCUGGCGACGGUUCAUUCAAAUUUCUGCCUAUCAACUUUCGAUGGUAAGGUAUUGGCUUACCAUGGUUUCAACGGGUAACGGGGAAUUAGGGUUCGAUUCCGGAGAGGGAGCCUGAGAAACGGCUACACAUCCAAGGAAGGCAGCAGGCGCGCAAAUUACCCAAUCCGAUUCGGGGAGGUAGUGACAAUAAAUACUGAUACAGGGCUCUUUUGGGUCUUGUAAUUGGAAUGAGUACAAUUUAAACCUCUUAACGAGGAACAAUUGGAGGCAAGUCUGGUGCCAGCAGCCGCGGUAAUUCCAGCUCCAAUAGCGUAUAUUAAAGUUGUUGCAGUUAAAAAGCUCGUAGUUGAAACUUGGGUCUGGCUGGCGGGUCCGCCUCACCGCGUGCACUCGUCCGGCCGGGCCUUCCUUCUGAAGAACCUCAUGCCCUUUACUGGCGUGUUGGGAAUCAGGACUUUUACUUUGAAAAAAUUAGAGUGUUCAAAGCAGGCCUUUGCUCGAAUACGUUAGCAUGGAAUAAUAAAAUAGGGCGUGCGUUCUAUUUUGUUGGUUUCUAGAGACGCCGCAAUGAUUAACAGGAACAGUCGGGGGGCAGUAUUCAGUUGUCAGAGGUGAAAUUCUUGGAUUUACUGAAGACUAACUACUGCGAAAGCAUUUGCCAAGGAUGUUUUCAUUAAUCAGUGAACGAAAGUUAGGGGAUCGAAGACGAUCAGAUACCGUCGUAGUCUUAACCGUAAACUAUGCCGACUAGGGAUCGGGCGAUGUUCUUUUUCUGACUCGCUCGGCACCUUACGAGAAAUCAAAGUUUUUGGGUUCUGGGGGGAUUAUGGUCGCAAGGCUGAACUUAAAGAAAUUGACGGAAGGUCACCACCAGGCGUGGAGCCUGCGGCUUAAUUUGACUCAACACGGGGAAACUCACCAGGUUCAGAUGAAAUAAGGAUUGACAGAUUGAGAGCUCUUUCUUGAUUUUUCAGGUGGUGGUGCAUGGCGUUCUUAGUUCGUGGGGUGACUUGUCUGCUUAAUUGCGAUAACGAGCGAGACCUUACUGCUAAAUAGCCAGGCUAGCUUUGGCUGGUCGCCGGCUUCUUAGAGAGAC